rnacentral:rRNA from 1 species
GACGAACGCUGGCGGCGUGCUUAACACAUGCAAGUCGAACGGUAAGGCCCUUCGGGGUACACGAGUGGCGAACGGGUGAGUAACACGUGGGUGAUCUGCCCUGCACUUCGGGAUAAGCCUGGGAAACUGGGUCUAAUACCGGAUAGGACCCUGGGAUGCAUGUCCUGGGGUGGAAAGCUUUUGCGGUGUGGGAUGGGCCCGCGGCCUAUCAGCUUGUUGGUGGGGUGAUGGCCUACCAAGGCGACGACGGGUAGCCGGCCUGAGAGGGUGUGCGGCCACACUGGGACUGAGAUACGGCCCAGACUCCUACGGGAGGCAGCAGUGGGUAAUAUUGCACAAUGGGCGCAAGCCUGAUGCAGCGACGCCGCGUGAGGGAUGACGGCCUUCGGGUUGUAAACCUCUUUCAGCACCGACGAAGCGCAAGUGACGGUAGGUGCAGAAGAAGGACCGGCCAACUACGUGCCAGCCGCCGCAGUAA